GGAUUUAAAGACAAGAAAAUGCCUAGACAGAGAAAAGGAUGGAGCACUCAGCCGCAGUGCACACUGACAUCAAGAAGUCGGAGACAGAGGAGGAAGCAGCAAAGGAGGCUGAGAAGGAGCAAUGAGCAAAGCAGGAGAGUGUGGAGUCCUGGCCGCCAAGAGAAGGCGGCGCUGCAAAGAGGAGGGAGGGAAGCACGGCAGCCUGCGCUGCUGGCUGCUGGCGGGUCAGCCAAGAGGAGGACUGGGAACUGGCCUUCAACAAGAAGAAGGGGGCAGCAGGAAGGGGAUGGGAGCAGAAUGUGUUUAAGGAGUGGGAGGAGAAGCACUAGCUACAGCAAGUAUAGCUCAUCCCAUACAUUCUCCUAGAUGAGGAGGCCGCUCUCCUGCAUCAGCGUGAAAGCCUGUGCGGCUGCUUCUCAACAA